rnacentral:rRNA from 1 species
CGUAGGGUGCGAGCGUUAAUCGGAAUUACUGGGCGUAAAGUGUGCGCAGGUGGCUGAGCAAGUCGAGUGUGAAAUCCCCGGGCUUAACUUGGGAAUUGCGCUCGAAACUACUUGGCUCGAGUGUGGCAGAGGAAGGUGGAAUUCCAGGUGUAGCGGUGAAAUGCGUAGAGAUCUGGAGGAACACCGAUGGCGAAGGCAGCCUUCUGGGCCAACACUGACGCUCAUGCACGAAAGCGUGGGGAGCAAACAGGAUUAGAUACCCUGGUAGUCCACGCCCUAAACGAUGAUGACUAGUUGUUGGGGAGUUAAAUCCCUUAGUAACGCAGCUAACGCGUGAAGUCAUCCGCCUGGGGAGUACGGUCGCAAGAUUA